GACAUAGGUCGCAAACGUUAUCCGGAAUUAUUGGGCGUAAAGGAUGCGUAGAUGGUUCAGUAAGUUACUGGUGGGAAAUCGAGGCCCAACCUCGUGGAAGUUAGUAAUACUGUUGAACUUGAGUGCAGGAGAGGUUAACGGAACUUCAUGUGGAGCGGUAAAAUGCGUAGAUAUAUGAAAGAACAUCAAUAUAGCGAAGGCAGUUAACUAUUCUGCUACUGACAUUGAGGCAUGAAAGCGUGGGGAGAAAAACGG
rnacentral:rRNA from 1 species